rnacentral:tRNA from 1 species
GGAAAUGUGGCUUAGUGGUAGAGUGCUUGCCUAGCAUGCAUGAAGCCCUGGGUUUGAUUCCUCAUUACCA